CUCUGUUAUUAGUUGACUGUGUGCUAAUAAUAGGACACUGGAACAUUUUCAUGCUUAUUAAUAGAAUCAUGUCAAUUUUCUAGAAAACUUGCAGUCUUCUUUUUCCACGAUAAAAAGUACAGCAUUCACCAUUCACACUUUAUAGUCAUUUUAAUAGGCAAUUACAAAGCCAUUAUAACUCUCCAUGUUCUCCUGCUAAUAGGAAAUACAGAGUACACUAUAUAUACACUGUUGUAUUGUUAAUUUUCCCUUCUCCAUAGCCAGGAAAAUGGUUGAAGGAGAAGAGCAGCACUUCUGAUUUGUGUUUACUUGGAAGUCCCACAGAAUUCAAUGGUAUUUGCUCCCCCGAAAGUGUGUUAUAGGUUGCAUUUAAUGUUAAACCCACCCAGAAUAGACCAAUUGAAAAUUAUGGGCAUAACUAACUUAGGUUGGGACGCGGGUGGCGCUAUGGGUUAAACCACAGAGCCUAGGACUUGCUGAUCAGAAGGUCAGCGGUUCGAAUCCCCAUGACGGGGUGAGUUCCCGUUGCUCAGUCCCUGCUCCUGCCAACCUAGCAGUUCGAAAGCACGUCAAAGUGCAAGUAGAUAAAUAGGUACCGCUCCAGCAGGAAGGUAAACGGCGUUUCUGUGCGCUGCUCUGGUUCACCAGAAGCGGCUUAGUCAUGCUGGCCACAUGACCCGGAAGCUGUACGCCGGCUCCCUCGGCCAAUAAAGCGAGAUGAACGCCGCAACCCCAGAGUCGGUCACGACUGGACCUAAUGGUCAGGGGUCCCUUUACCUUUAACUUAGGUCCAGAAAUGUUAAUGGGUCUACCCUGAGUAGAACAGCUGGUUACAAACUAUAGGACUUUACUGUCUUUUGGAGAAGUAAAAAUCCAGAUCAGUGUAUCUGAGAGCUAUUGGGCUAUAAUCAGGGUGUCUCAAGUGACUGUAUUGUAUUGAAGUUGCUGGAAAAGCAUGCCUGUAUUUUUCCAUGGGGCUUGAGCAGUGAUAUUUUUCUAGAAAAAGAGUUGCCAGAACUCAUCAUGAACUCCUCUAUUGUUCUCUUGCAAUGACAAUGGUGAUCACCUGAGAUGUGCCAAAACUGUGUUCUGGUAAGUUCCAGCUGGGAAAAAAGCCCUGGGCUUGAGAUGGAGACCUGCUGUAAAUUUCCAUUACAGAGGUGGAGUGAUCUAACUCUUUACAGCCCAGUCACAUGCAGUCACAAUACUUGGAUGGGGUUACAAGAUGUUUGCAUAUGUUAAUGAAGAAAGUCCUCCAUCAUAGACCACAUUGGUUUUUGUUCUCAACUGCUGAGAAGAACAGACGUGCUUUCUCCCUGGAAAAAGCAGCCUGAGGCAAAUAGGUUGGAAAUGGGAGAGAGAAGGAGGUUUGAAUAAUAAAGUCAUGUCUUUACUGAGAGUGGUAUAUAUCUGAUGCAAC
rnacentral:lncRNA from 1 species